rnacentral:rRNA from 2 species
ACUGAUUGAUUUUGGUCGCCAACGAGUGGCGGACGGGUGAGUAACACGUAGGUAACCUGCCCAGAAGCGGGGGACAACAUUUGGAAACAGAUGCUAAUACCGCAUAACAACGUUGUUCGCAUGAACAACGCUUAAAAGAUGGCUUCUCGCUAUCACUUCUGGAUGGACUGCGGUGCAUUAGCUUGUUGGUGGGGUAAUGGCCUACCAAGGCGAUGAUGCAUAGCCGAGUUGAGAGACUGAUCGGCCACAAUGGGACUGAGACACGGCCCAUACUCCUACGGGAGGCAGCAGUAGGGAAUCUUCCACAAUGGGCGCAAGCCUGAUGGAGCAACACCGCGUGAGUGAAGAAGGGUUUCGGCUCGUAAAGCUCUGUUGUUAAAGAAGAACACGUAUGAGAGUAACUGUUCAUACGUUGACGGUAUUUAACCAGAAAGUCACGGCUAACUACGUGCCAGCAGCCGCGGUAAUACGUAGGUGGCAAGCGUUAUCCGGAUUUAUUGGGCGUAAAGAGAGUGCAGGCGGUUUUCUAAGUCUGAUGUGAAAGCCUUCGGCUUAACCGGAGAAGUGCAUCGGAAACUGGAUAACUUGAGUGCAGAAGAGGGUAGUGGAACUCCAUGUGUAGCGGUGGAAUGCGUAGAUAUAUGGAAGAACACCAGUGGCGAAGGCGGCUACCUGGUCUGCAACUGACGCUGAGACUCGAAAGCAUGGGUAGCGAACAGGAUUAGAUACCCUGGUAGUCCAUGCCGUAAACGAUGAGUGCUAGGUGUUGGAGGGUUUCCGCCCUUCAGUGCCGGAGCUAACGCAUUAAGCACUCCGCCUGGGGAGUACGACCGCAAGGUUGAAACUCAAAGGAAUUGACGGGGGCCCGCACAAGCGGUGGAGCAUGUGGUUUAAUUCGAAGCUACGCGAAGAACCUUACCAGGUCUUGACAUCUUGCGCCAACCCUAGAGAUAGGGCGUUUCCUUCGGGAACGCAAUGACAGGUGGUGCAUGGUCGUCGUCAG